GACGAACGCUGGCGGCGUGCUUAACACAUGCAAGUCGAGCGGAAAGGCCCUUCGGGGUACUCGAGCAGCGAACGGGUGAGUAACACGUGAGUAACCUGCCCCAGACUUUGGGAUAACCCUCGGAAACGGGGGCUAAUACCGGAUACGACACAGCUUCGCAUGGGGUCUGUGUGGAAAGUUUUUCGGUUUGGGAUGGGCUCGCGGCCUAUCAGCUUGUUGGUGGGGUGAUGGCCUACCAAGGCGACGACGGGUAGCCGGCCUGAGAGGGCGACCGGCCACACUGGGACUGAGACACGGCCCAGACUCCUACGGGAGGCAGCAGUGGGGAAUAUUGCACAAUGGGCGGAAGCCUGAUGCAGCGACGCCGCGUGAGGGAUGACGGCCUUCGGGUUGUAAACCUCUUUCAGCAGGGACGAAGCGUAAGUGACGGUACCUGCAGAAGAAGCGCCGGCCAACUACGUG
rnacentral:rRNA from 1 species